AUGUGCAAUCAUUACCGGCAUUAAUGCACCGGAUUCCAUCAGGAUCCUAACGUGUUUGGGCGAGAGUGGUACUAAAUGACUGACCUCUUAAGAAGUUUUCGUGUUGCAUCCC
rnacentral:rRNA from 1 species